rnacentral:rRNA from 1 species
UACGAAGGUGGCAAGCGUUACUCGGAAUUACUAGGCGUAAAGGGCAGGUAGGUGGCCUGAUAAGUCUGUUGUGAAAGCUCCUGGCUUAACUGGGAGAGGUCAACAGAUACUGUCGGGCUUGAGUGUGGGAGAGGGUACUGGAAUUCCCGGUGUAGCGGUGAAAUGCGCAGAGAUCGGGAGGAACACCAAUGGCGAAAGCAGGUACCUGGACCAUUACUGACACUCAGCUGCGAAAGCUAGGGGAGCAAACAGG